rnacentral:lncRNA from 1 species
UCUCCAAACACUCCAUCAUUUAGCUAAACCAAAAUCAUGUUCACUUCUUCUCCUCCUCCACCAUUGACACAAAUUACUUCCAACUCUCUAAAGAACAUCAUUCAUAAUCUCCAAUCUUAUAAUAGCAACAUAAUGCUAGCAGCAAUUAUAUCACUUCUUUUAGUAAUUCUUUUUAUUUUACUUCUACACAUUUAUGCCAAAUGGUUCUUGGUCCAAACUCGACAAAGGAGUACUAGAAACUCCCUCUCUUCCCCUUUUCAUAAUUUCCAUUCCUUCAAUAUUGUUGACAACACUAGCUUUGCUAGUAAUUUUCCAACAAAGGGUCUCGAAAGAUCGAUGAUUUCUUCGAUUCCUUUGUUUGUGUACAAAGAAGAAAAUGAUAAUGAGUUGGAAUGUAUAAUAUGUUUGAGUUUAUUGGAAGAUGAAGAUUUUUUUAGAAAGUUACCUAAGUGUAGCCAUGCAUUUCAUGUGGAGUGCAUUGAUAUGUGGUUGCAUUCACAUUCUACAUGUCCGAUUUGUCGAGCUCCUGCCCUGAUUGACAAAUGUGAAUCCAAGACAUAGGUUAAAGUCAAAUCAGAGUGAGUCUGGUCUUAUUAUAUAUUGUAUGUAUGUGCAUGUCCUAGUUUUCGAUCUCCCGUCGUGAUUGACAAAUGUGAAUUCAAGAUUAGGGUAAAAUCGAUCAGAAUGAGUUUGAUCUUAUUUUACACUAUGUGUAUAUACGGGAAGAACUUCUAAUUAUUUCUUUACUGAAUAUCUUAAUUUUGUUCUUCAUUAUACUUUGAGUUAUUCAUACCAUUAUUAUUGGCAAAUUAUUCUCGUAUAUAUUUGCCAUGGACUUUAAUGAUUUCAACUUCAUAUGAUUUAUAAUACACCCUUUAGAGGGUAUUCCACAAUUUACUAAAGAUAAGGAUAUAUGAACGGCUCCAAAACAUAAGGAAAGAUAAAAGUGAAACAUUUUAUGUAGUUGCUUAGUUUUUUCUAUGUUAUGUGUAUAUUUUUACUGUUAAAUAAUCACCUCG